rnacentral:rRNA from 1 species
GACGAACGCUGGCGGCGUGCCUAACACAUGCAAGUCGUGCGAGAAAGUUCCUUCGGGAGCGAGUAAAGCGGCGCACGGGUGAGUAACACGUAGGUAACCUGCCCCCCAGUCUGGAACAACUAGAGGAAACUCUAGCUAAUGCCGGAUGAGACCACGAUCCCUUCGGGGGUUGCGGCCAAAGAUGGCCUCUACUUGUAAGCUAUCGCUGAGGGAUGGGCCUGCGGGCCAUUAGCUUGUUGGUGAGGUAACGGCUCACCAAGGCUGUGAUGGCUAGCUGGUCUGAGAGGAUGACCAGCCACACUGGGACUGAGACACGGCCCAGACUCCUACGGGAGGCAGCAGUGGGGAAUAUUGCGCAAUGGGCGAAAGCCUGACGCAGCGACGCCGCGUGGGUGAUGAAGGCCUC